UACGAAGGGGGCUAGCGUUGCUCGGAAUCACUGGGCGUAAAGCGCACGUAGGCGGAUCUUUAAGUCAGGGGUGAAAUCCCAAGGCUCAACCUUGGAACUGCCUUUGAUACUGGGGAUCUCGAGUCCGGAAGAGGUGAGUGGAACUGCGAGUGUAGAGGUGAAAUUCGUAGAUAUUCGCAAGAACACCAGUGGCGAAGGCGGCUCACUGGUCCGGUACUGACACUGAGACGCGAAAGCGUGGGGAGCAAACAGG
rnacentral:rRNA from 1 species